rnacentral:rRNA from 1 species
UACCUGGUUGAUCCUGCCAGUAGUCAUAUGCUUGUCUUAAGGAUUAAGCCAUGCAAGUCUAAGUAUAAGUAAACUUCACAGCGAAACUGCGAAUGGCUCAUUAAAACAGUUAUAGUUUAUUUGAUAAUUAUUAGAUGGAUAACUUUAGGAAAUCUAGAGCUAAUACAUGCCUUAAAGCCGGAUGAUUUUUUCUGAAGGCCGUAUUUAUUAGAUAUAAACCAAUCGUGUAUCUUACACGUUUUGAUGAUUCAUAAUAACUUCUCUGACCGAUCCCCCUGGGUGAGGUAGAUCAUUCAAGUUUCUGCCCUAUCAGCUUUAGAUGGUAGUGUAUUGGACUACCAUGGCGAUCACGGGUAACGGAGAAUUAGGGUUCGAUUCCGGAGAGGGAGCCUGAGAAACGGCUACCACAUCUACGGAAGGCAGCAGGCGCGUAAAUUACCCAAUCCUGACUAAGGGAGGUAGUGACAAGAAAUAUCGAAUCGGGUGCCUUUGUGCAUUGCGAGUUUGAAAUGAGAACAAUCUAAAAAACUUAUCGAGGAGCAAUUGGAGGGCAAGUCUGGUGCCAGCAGCCGCGGUAAUUCCAGCUCGAUAGC